ensembl:processed_transcript
CCCAGACUGGGACUUCAACACUGCUAAAGAGCUGUGCUAUCUGAAAUGCUCAGGAGGACUACCCAGCCGCACGCGGAGCAAAAUCCUUGUGGUUAGUAGCCCCACUGUGCCUCUGAGGAGUUGGUUCACUGCCUUUGUGGUCAGCAGUAGCAGUAACGGCAGCGAAAGCCGCAGUGACCGCAGCAGCGACCACAGCAUUAACAGUAGCGUUGGAGGAGGCCACCGCAGAAGCAGCUGCCGCAGAAGCAGCAGCAGCAGCAGCAGAGGCAUCAGAGGCGGACGCAGAAGCAGCUGCCGCAGCCGCUGAAGCAUCAGAAGCAAAAGCAGAGGCAGAGGCAGAAGCAGCGGAAGAGGAAGCUGCCGAAGCGGAAGCAAACGCAACAGAUGCGGAAGUGGAAGCUGCCGAAGCAGAAGCAAAAGCAGCAGAAACAAUAUUAGAAGCAGCAGAAGCAGCCGUGGACGCAGAUUCCGCGGAAGUGGAAGCAGAAACAGCAGCAACGGCAGCAGAGGCAGAAGCAACAGUACAAGCUGUUCUGUCAUUAGAGUUCUCCAGUGCUACAUUCGGUUCCUGGAGUCCGUACUUCCUCUCUUCUUCAACCUUUAAGGAAAUUCAAGCUGUGUUAUUGUUCAUUAAAAGGGAGUUUUAUAGAUUCAUUUGUUUUAUUAUGAGUCAGUGUCAUGGUCUUGAUUUUAGUCCACAAAUAUUUGCGUUUUAAUUUUAUCAGUACAGACCACUGACAUUUUGUAACCUCUGCUUCACUUCUGUUUGAGUACGAGACCCAGAAUUUUCAGAAAUCUUAAGGGGACAUGCUCUGUCUGGCUUUUAAAAUUUUGCCCUUUGCUGUAAGCAGUGGUGGACACACCUUUAAUUCAAGCACUCGGAAAGCAGAGGUAGACUGAUCUGUGUAAGUACGAGGACAGCCAAAGCUACACAGAGAAACCCUGUCUCAAAACAAAACUACACUAAACAAAGCAAACCUGGAUUCUUGUUUGUUUGGUUUUGUUUGGUUAGUUUUUGUUUGUUUGGGUUUUUUGCUACCUAACACAUUCACUUCCUUAAUGGUGUGAAGAAGUAUCAAGAAAAGGACAGAGUAUAUCCUCUCCAGUCUAGAUUUUACAUUAAUAGCCAGAUUUAGAGACUGUGACAUUAAAGAGAUUGUGGAAUAAAAGGAACCUCACCCUUCUGCCCUACAUCAGACUUUUCUCGUGGUCUUUCACAAUUGCUCACUGGGAUCCUGGGAGAGCAAAUGAGUGAAGGUGGCCUUUGAAAUGCAUGAACAAUGUGUGCCACUACCCACAGCAGACUGUUACACCUGAGGGAUAGCAGGUAAUGGCUUGCCUCAGCACCAUCACCUACAUACAGCAGGAGUUAUGUGAACAAGGCCUGGAGGAUCAUUCUAAGUGAUGAGUUGGUGUUACCCAUUGGCUGACUCAGACAGGUUACCCAGAAAACCCACUGAACCAGCUAAACUUAACAACUGUGAGUCUGGGGACUGGAGAGAUGGCUCAGCAGUUAAGAGUCCUUGGAUUUGGUUCCAAGCACCCACGCAGGGGCUCACAUCUGUCUGAAACUCCACUUCCAGGGGAUCCAAUCCCUUCUGACCACAGUGGGAGCACCAGGCAUGCCUAUGGUGCACAGGCAUACAUGCAGACAAAACAUUCAUGCACAAGCAUACAGAAAAGUUAAAAAAAAAAAAA